rnacentral:lncRNA from 13 species
CUAAGUAGGAGGGUCAUCGGUAUCUAGAAAGCUAAAAGCACAAGGAAUCGCUGUAUCAUGGUCUAGGGGAUUUUCCAGCUCUGAGAGACUUCUGUACAGCUUCUGAGGUGAGGAUUCCCCCUGCACGAAGGAUACCAGGCCACUCAGGCCUUCUCCCACUCCCCGGCAGGAUUCUAGAGCCUGAAGACA